GGUUACCUACGGGGCGCAGCAGUAGGGAAUAUUGCUCAAUGGGGGAAACCCUGAAGCAGCAACGCCGCGUGGAGGAUGAAGGUUUUCGGAUUGUAAACUCCUUUUCUUAGUGAGGAAUAAUGACGGUAACUAAGGAGCAAGCCACGGCUAACUACGUGCCAGCAGCCGCGGUAAUACGUAGGUGGCAAGCGUUGUCCGGAAUUACUGGGUGUAAAGGGAGCGUAGGCGGGAAGCCAAGUCAGCUGUGAAAACUACGGGCUUAACCUGUAGACUGCAGUUGAAACUGGCUUUCUUGAGUGAAGUAG
rnacentral:rRNA from 1 species